GGUCCCAGUCCACCCCAGUCCAUCCCAGUCCGGUCUCAGUCCACCCCAGUCCAGUCCCUGUCUGCCCCGACCUGUCCCGGUCAGGUCCCAGUCCACCCCAGUCCAGUCCCUGUCCGCUCCGACCCGUCCCGGUGGGUCCCAGUCCACCCCAGUCAGGUCCUAGUCCAUCCCAGUCCAUCCCAGUCCCUCCCAGUCUGGUCCCUGUCUGCCCUGACCCAUCCCAGUCCGGUCUCAGUCCACCCCAGUCCAGUCCCUGUCCGCUCCGACCCGUCCCAGCGGGUCCCAGUCCACCCCAGUCCACCCCAGUCAGGUCCUAGUCCAUCCCAGUCCAUCCCAGUCCCUCCCAGUCUGGUCCCUGUCUGCCCUGACCCAUCCCAGUCAGGUCCUAGUCCACCCCAGUCCAUCCCAGUCCAGUCCCAGCGUAUCCCGAUCCAUCCCUGUCUGUCCCAGUCCAGUCCCAGUGUGUCCCAGUCCAUCCCUGUCUGUCCCAGUCCAGUCCCAGCGUAUCCCGAUCCAUCCCUGUCUAUCCCAGUCCAGUCCCAGUGUGUCCCAGUCCAUCCCUAUCCCAGUCC
rnacentral:lncRNA from 1 species